rnacentral:rRNA from 1 species
CCUACGGGAGGCAGCAGUGAGGAAUAUUGGUCAAUGGGCGCGAGCCUGAACCAGCCAAGCCGCGUGAAGGAUGACGGCUCUAUGAGUUGUAAACUGCUUUUGUACGGGAGUAAAGUCAGAUACGUGUACCGUGUUGAAUGUACUGUACGAAUAAGGAUCGGCUAACUCCGUGCCAGCAGCCGCGGUAAUACGGAGGAUCCGAGCGUUAUCCGGAUUUAUUGGGUUUAACGGGUGCGUAGGCGGGUUGUUAAGUCAGAUGUGAAAUUUUGGGGCUCAACCCGGAAAUUGCAUUUGAUACUGGCAGCCUUGAGUACAGUUGAGGUAGGCGAAAUGCGUGGUGUAGCGGUGAAAUGCUUAGAUAUCACGAAGAACUCCGAUUGUGAAGGCAGCCUACUGGACUGCAACUGACAUUGAGGCUCGAAAGUGUGGGUAUCAAACAGGAUUAGAUACCCUUGUAGUC